UCUUGGUCAUUUAGAGGAAGUAAAAGUCGUAACAAGGUUUCCGUAGGUGAACCUGCGGAAGGAUCAUUCACAAACGAGUGUUUUAUGGCACUCUUUAAAAAUCCAUAUCCACCUUGUGUGCAAUGUUUGUUGGGAAAGUCUUUUCUUUCCCUUCAUAAAUAUCAACCUAUAUCUUUAACAACAUUCGUUUGAUAACAUAUUAUGAAUAUACUUAAUUCAAAAUAUAACUUUCAACAACGGAUCUCUUGGCUCUCGCAUCGAUGAAGAACGCAGCGAAAUGCGAUACGUAAUGUGAAUUGCAGAAUUCAGUGAAUCAUCGAAUCUUUGAACGCAUAUUGCGCUCUUUGGUAUUCCGAAGAGCAUGCUUGUUUGAGUAUCAGUAAACACCUCAACCUCUCUUUUUUGAUAAAAAAAAAAGGAGGGUGGACUUGAGCUAUCCCAACGACCUUCACCGGUAGGCGGGCGGCUUGAAAUGCAGGUGCAGCUGGACUUUUAUCUGAGCUAAAAGCAUAUCUAUUUAGUCCUCGUCAAACAGGAUUAUUACUUUUGCUGCAGCUAACAUAAAGGAUAAUCGUCCUCUUUGCUGACUGAUGCAGGAUUUUACGACACUUUAUGUGUAGCUCAACUCGAUCUCAAAUCAAGUAAGACUACCCGCUGAACUUAAGCAUAUCAAUAAGCGGAGGA
rnacentral:rRNA from 1 species